rnacentral:rRNA from 1 species
GUUAAGCGACUAAGCGUACACGGUGGAUGCCCUGGCAGUCAGAGGCGAUGAAGGACGUGCUAAUCUGCGAUAAGCGUCGGUAAGGUGAUAUGAACCGUUAUAACCGGCGAUUUCCGAAUGGGGAAACCCAGUGUGUUUCGACACACUAUCAUUAACUGAAUCCAUAGGUUAAUGAGGCGAACCGGGGGAACUGAAACAUCUAAGUACCCCGAGGAAAAGAAAUCAACCGAGAUUCCCCCAGUAGCGGCGAGCGAACGGGGAGCAGCCCAGAGCCUGAAUCAGUGUGUGUGUUAGUGGAAGCGUCUGGAAAGGCGCGCGAUACAGGGUGACAGCCCCGUACACAAAAAUGCACAUGCUGUGAGCUCGAUGAGUAGGGCGGGACACGUGGUAUCCUGUCUGAAUAUGGGGGGACCAUCCUCCAAGGCUAAAUACUCCUGACUGACCGAUAGUGAACCAGUACCGUGAGGGAAAGGCGAAAAGAACCCCGGCGAGGGGAGUGAAAAAGAACCUGAAACCGUGUACGUACAAGCAGUGGGAGCACGCUUAGGCGUGUGACUGCGUACCUUUUGUAUAAUGGGUCAGCGACUUAUAUUCUGUAGCAAGGUUAACCGAAUAGGGGAGCCGAAGGGAAACCGAGUCUUAACUGGGCGUUAAGUUGCAGGGUAUAGACCCGAAACCCGGUGAUCUAGCCAUGGGCAGGUUGAAGGUUGGGUAACACUAACUGGAGGACCGAACCGACUAAUGUUGAAAAAUUA